UAAUUCUAUCCACCAAGAAAUUGUAUGUGAAUGUGUGAGACUUAUGGUCAUGGUUAUAGGGAAAUAACAAGAAGAACAAAGUGCAGUAAACGGUAAAACUGUUUGCACUACAAACCAGUACGUUCAUAAUUAAGACAAUACAUUAAAAAUAACAUGAUAAUACAGCAGUUUGCAACAGUAAACAGCAAAACAAGCUGUUUGUACAGCUAAUAUAGCUGGAAUGACACCGAAAGCCAGACACAUUAAAUUUACAAAUGGCCGCGCCCCCUCUUACAGAAAAAAAUAAGGGGCAUAUGUUUAUUCAUAUGUUUAUUUAUGUGACGUAAGCGUGUGACUUUUAAUUCGUGACGUGCUUUCAUGGGCGUGCGCGCGGACCGGAUGGAGUUGCCAUGGAAACGGAGCGCAACACUGCAAAUGUCACGAGGAAACACCCCGUUUCUCGCUGAUUUCACUGUUUUCAGGUGAGUUAAGUCCAUAAAAUCACACAAAUAUUACUUAUAACUGUUGUUGACACUUCUCUUACUUGUAUUUGACUCGCUUCUGUUGUUUAUUUACUUUAUAGGAAUGGUUUAAUGUCUUCGAAAAAGUCCGUUAGCAUUUCUUCCGUUUUCAGACGACGUAUCGUCAGAAGGGAGUGUCCAAGAUUUCAAUAUUUCUGAAGGGAGCUGCUGACAGAGAUGUAGGAAGCGCUGAAAAGGUUAAGUAAUCUGAUAUGCAUUUUUUUCACAACAUAUAUCGCAAUGAAUCUGUUAUUUUAUUUAUUUAUUUUUUGCAUCUCACCUGCUCUAGCUUGUUUCCAUCUAAUAAACCUGGAACUGCAGACUAAAUAUUGUUGGCUCUGUGUCAAAUUGCUUGUUUUGUUCCUAGAUUCUUCAGUGCUGAUGGCCUGAAGUGAACACACUGUAAGACAACAUCUCCAAGAUGCUAUUGACCACAAGACUAGUACAGGUUAUUAGAAACUGCACAGCACAGGACUUGCAGGACUUGUGAGGACUUCAGAUGAUACCAGUACUCAAAAGACCUUAGAAGAUGGCAACUAUAGAUGGACAUACAAACUACCGCCACUGCAAAAAAGGUAAUGUUAAUUUGAAAGAGCUGUGUCACAGUAGCCGUGUUUCCACUGGCGAGCUAGGACCAGGCGUGCUAGUGCGUGCCAGGGCCAGUCGCGUUUCCACAGUCACUUCCGGGGCUUGAUCGUGCCUCGCCGGGGCUUCCUCGGGGCCAACGGCCAGGGUUUUUUGGCCCGACGAAAACCUUGGGCCAAAGCGGGCCAGCUGGGGCUAGAGGAGGGGUUAUGAACAAAGGCGGAGUUUCUCCGUGUCUAGAGAGCGUCAGCGCAGAUCAUUUCAGAAAGAUAACAGCUUAAACACCAGCAUUAAAGACGUUUUAAAAUAAGUUAAGCUCAAAACUCACUCUUAGUUAGCAGCAAGUGUUUGAAAUAACUUGAUCCGAUGUGGAUUAUAAUCACUAAACAAGGCAGAAAUAUUUAUAAGCGAUGUAAAAGACUAUGCACGCUAAACAUUAACGUUACCAUAGUAAACAUGUUAAAUAUGACUGCUUGGAGAAAUCAGACGUAAGCUUCUUAUUCUCUAUCACAAUUGUGUAUUUAUAAAGUAACAUUUUA